rnacentral:rRNA from 1 species
CCAGACUCCUACGGGAGGCAGCAGUGGGGGAUAUUGCACAAUGGGGGAAACCCUGAUGCAGCGACGCCGCGUGGGCGAAGAAGUAUUUCGGUAUGUAAAGCCCUAUCAGCAGGGAAGAAGAAAUGACGGUACCUGAGUAAGAAACACCGGCUAACUACGUGCCAGCAGCCGCGGUAAUACGUAGGGGGCAAGCGUUAUCCGGAUUUACUGGGUGUAAAGGGAGCGUAGACGGCGAAGAAAGUCUGAAGUGAAAGCCCGUGGCUUAACCGCGGAACGGCUUUGGAAACUGUGGAACUGGAGUGCUGGAGAGGCAAGCGGAAUUCCUAGUGUAGCGGUGAAAUGCGUAGAUAUUAGGAGGAACACCAGUGGCGAAGGCGGCUUGCUGGACAGUAACUGACGUUGAGGCUCGAAAGCGUGGGGAGCAAACAGGAUUAGAUACCCGAGUA